rnacentral:rRNA from 1 species
UACGUAGGGGGCAAGCGUUGUCCGGAAUUAUUGGGCGUAAAGAGCGCGUAGGCGGUCCGAUAAGUCGGCUGUGAAAGUCAGGGGCUCAACCCUUGAAAGCCGGACCGAUACUGUCGGACUAGAGUCCGGAAGAGGCGAGUGGAAUUCCCGGUGUAGCGGUGAAAUGCGCAGAUAUCGGGAGGAACACCAAUGGCGAAGGCAGCUCGCUGGGACGGUACUGACGCUGAGACGCGAAAGCGUGGGGAGCAAACAGGG